rnacentral:rRNA from 1 species
UAAUACGUAGGGUGCGAGCGUUAAUCGGAAUUACUGGGCGUAAAGCGUGCGCAGGCGGUUUUGUAAGUCAGAUGUGAAAUCCCCGGGCUUAACCUGGGAACUGCGUUUGAAACUACAAGGCUAGAGUGUAGCAGAGGGGGGUGGAAUUCCACGUGUAGCAGUGAAAUGCGUAGAGAUGUGGAGGAACACCGAUGGCGAAGGCAGCCCCCUGGGUUAACACUGACGCUCAGGCACGAAAGCGUGGGGAGCAAACAGGAUUAGAUACCCUGGUAGUCCACGCCCUAAACUAUGUCAACUAGUUGUCGGGCCUUAACGGGCUUGGUAACGUAGCUAACGCGUGAAGUUGACCGCCUGGGGAGUACGGUCGCAAGAUUAAAACUUAAAGGAAUUGACGG